GCCCUUGUGGCGCAAUCGGUAGCGCGUAAGACUUCUAGGAAGUUGAUCUUAAGGCUGUGGGUUCCGACCCCCACCAGGGGCU
rfam:Aspergillus brasiliensis CBS 101740 unplaced genomic scaffold ASPBRscaffold_19, whole genome shotgun sequence.